ACAAGAUAUGAUGAUGUUUAUCCAUCAAUUCUGCAAUUGAAUGAUGAUUACUAACAUGCACUACCAUCUGAUCCCUU
rfam:Glycine max cultivar Williams 82 chromosome 8, whole genome shotgun sequence.